rnacentral:lncRNA from 1 species
AUUCACCUUCUCUAUAAUCCGAAAUGGACCAUCAGCUCUUGGCAUCAACUUGGACUUACGUUUUCUUGGGAAUCUGCCCUUGCUAAUAUGAAUCCAAACAAGAUCUCCAGGUUCAAACCUAACCAUUUUCUGCCCCUUGUUAGCCUGUUUAACAUACUUUAUCGUUUUCUCCUCAAUAUGUAAUCGAACCUGCUCAUGUAGUUUCUUCAUCAAUUCUGCCUUUCUAAUUCCAUCCAUAGAUGUCCUCUCAUCAAUUGGAAUAUGAAUAAGAUCAAUAG